AAUUCCAGGUGUAGCAUGAAUAUGUGAGAGAGGUGCAGGAAUACCGAUGGCGACGGCACCCCCCGGGGAUAAUGUUGAUGCUCAGACACGAGAGCGGGGGGAGCAAAACAGGAUCAGAUACCGUGGUAGUCCACGCCCUAAACGAUGUCAACUAGCUGUGGGGGCCGUUAGGCGUUCGUAGCGCAGCUAACGAGUGAAGCUGACCGCGGGGGGAGUACGGUCGCAAGAUUAAAACUCAAAGGAAUGGGCGGGCACCCGCACGAGCGGUGGUUGAUGUGGAUUAAUUCGAUGCAACGGGAAAAACCUUACCUACCCUUGACAUGUCAGGAAAGCCGAAGAGAUUUGGCCGUGCUCGCAAGAGAACCGGAACACAGCUGGUGCAUGGCCGUCGUCAGCUCGUGUCGUGAGAUGUUGGGUUAAGUCCCGCAACGAGCGCAACCCUUGUCAUUAGGUGGUACGCAAGAGCACUCUAAUGAGACUGCCGGUGACAAACCGGAGGAAGGUGGGGAUGACGUCAAGUCCUCAUGGCCCUUAUGGGUAGGGCUUCACACGUCAUACAAUGGUCGGGACAGAGGGUAGCCAACCCGCGAGGGGGAGCCAAUCUCAGAAACCCCAUCGUAGUCCGGAUCGCAGUCUGCAACUUGACUGCGUGAAGUGGGAAUCGCUAGUAAUCGCGGAUCAGAAUGUCGCGGUGAAUACGUUCCCGGGUUCUUGUACACACCGCCCGUCACACCCUGGGACUCCUACACCACAAGCUAGGUAGCCUAACCGU
rnacentral:rRNA from 1 species